rnacentral:rRNA from 1 species
UACGUAGGUCCCGAGCGUUGUCCGGAUUUAUUGGGCGUAAGGCGAGCACAGGUGGUUUAUUAAGUCUGGUGUAAAAGGCAGUGGCUCAACCAUUGUAUGCAUUGGAAACUGGUAGACUUGAGUGCAGGAGAGGAGAGUGGAAUUCCAUGUGUAGCGGUGAAAUGCGUAGAUAUAUGGAGGAACACCGGUGGCGAAAGCGGCUCUCUGGCCUGUAACUGACACUGAAGCUCGAAAGCGUGGGGAGCAAACAGG